rnacentral:rRNA from 1 species
AAAAUCCGGGGGGCUGAGCUGAGGCGUGAUGACGAGGAACCACGGUUCCGAAGUGAUUGAUACCAAGCUUCCAGGAAAAGCCACUAAGCUUCAGUCUAGAGUUGACCGUACCGCAAACCGACACAGGUGGGCAGGAUGAAAAUUCUAAGGCGCUUGAGAGAACUCAGGAGAAGGAACUCGGCAAAUUAACACCGUAACUUCGGGAGAAGGUGUGCCCCGGUAGCGUGUAGAGACUUGCUCUCGAAGCGCGAUGGGGUUGCAGUGAAAUGGUGGCUGCGACUGUUUAAUAAAAACACAGCACUCUGCAAACACGAAAGUGGACGUAUAGGGUGUGACGCCUGCCCGGUGCCGGAAGGUUAAGUGAUGGGGUGCAAGCUCUUGAUCGAAGCCCCGGUAAACGGCGGCCGUAACGAUAGCGGUCCUAAGGUAGCGAAAUUCCUUGUCGGGUAAGUUCCGACCUGCACGAAUGGCGUAACGAUGGCCACACUGUCUCCUCCUGGGACUCAGCGAAGUUGAAAUGUUUGUGAAGAUGCAAUCUACCCGCGGCUAGACGGAAAGACCCCAUGAACCUUUACUGUAGCUUUGCAUUGGACUUUGAACCGGUUUGUGUAGGAUAGGUGGGAGACUGUGAAGCCGGGACGCUAGUUUCGGUGGAGUCAACCUUGAAAUACCACCCUGAUUUGUUUGAGGUUCUAACCUUGGUCCGUGAAUCCGGAUCGGGGACCGUGCAUGGUAGGCAGUUUGACUGGGGCGGUCUCCUCCCAAAAGGUAACGGAGGAGUACGAAGGUACGCUUAGGGCGGUCGGACAUCGCCCACAAAGUGCAAUGGCAAAAGCGUGCUUGACUGCGAGACCCACAAGUCGAGCAGGUACGAAAGUAGGUCAUAGUGAUCCGGUGGUUCUGUAUGGAAGGGCCAUCGCUCAACGGAUAAAAGGUACUCUGGGGAUAACAGGCUAAUUCCUCCCAAGAGUUCAUAUCGACGGGGGAGUUUGGCACCUCGAUGUCGGCUCAUCACAUCCUGGGGCUGUAGUCGGUCCCAAGGGUAUGGCUGUUCGCCAUUUAAAGUGGUACGCGAGCUGGGUUUAAAACGUCGUGAGACAGUUUGGUCCCUAUCUGCCGUGGGCGCUGGAAAUUUGAGGGGGGCUGCUCCUAGUACGAGAGGACCGGAGUGGACGAACCUCUGGUGUACCGGUUAUGACGCCAGUCGUAUCGCCGGGUAGCUAAGUUCGGAAGAGAUAAACGCUGAAAGCAUCUAAGCGUGAAACUCGCCUUAAGAUAAGAUUUCCCGGAGUCUUGAACUCCCUGAAGGGUCGUCGAAGACCACGACGUUGAUAGGUCAGGUGUGGAAGCGCAGCAAUGCGUUAAGCUAACUGAUACUAA